UCCACGGACUCUGUCAUCUCCUUAGGUGGC
rnacentral:piRNA from 1 species